AUUAAAUAUUCGUUUAAAAAAUUAAUGAAAAUUUGGGUCAGUCCGUCCAAGUUUGGAGGGCUUUUAGAUGGUCUAAACCUGUUAUCAAUAACAUUUGCUUGAGUUUGAACUUAAGAAAAUGCAGCUCAAGGUCGCAAUUUAUCAUCCCAAAUAUUUAAAGUUAAAAAACGAGGUGAUGUCUUUCCGAGGCCACCUAAUCGCCACAAUUAAAUUGCCUUCUUAGUACUGCCUUCAUUACCUGUUUACCACCAUGUUCGUUUUGGAAUCACUUCACCACUUUGUCUCCACCCAGGUGGUGUUGAUUUUAUGAAUUGAUAUAUAAAUAUAUGCAUAGGGCGUUUUUUCGUGUUCCUAAAAUACCUUAUAAUACAUGAUACAUCAAAUUCUAAAAUUAUUUCAAUAGAGUAAUUUUAAAAUUAUUUUCUUAUGUUUUGUUAGAACCUCUAUAAAUUAAUAUUCGAUAAAUUAAUAAUCUCUAUUAUAUAAUAAGUUAUUACCAUCUUGUCUUGGGCCAAUGGACUAAAUCAAUAAUUACGAUAAAUUAAUAACAUAAUAUUUUUCUUAAAAAAAUCUUAUAAAACUUUGUGGUCUUGUUUAAAUCAUAAAUUAAUAAUUUGCUAAAAUUACCAAUGUAGUUGACUAUAAUAUAUUAAUUAAUAAAAUAUGACUCUAUUGUCACUUGCUUACAUAAAAUAUGACUUUAUUGUUACUUGUUUUUUUUCCUACAAUUUAAAUUUAGUUAGAUCUCAUCUCUUAUUUUUCUUAUUGUAUCUAGAAGUCCUAAAAUUGACAUCUCGAAUUGUAAAUUUACAAUAACAAAUGAAGUGUUAUCUAUGUAUGUUUACCGCAUGGUAAAUAACUCUGUAAAUUAAUAAAUUAUUAAUUUAUCGAUUAAUUGAUAAAUUAUUAAUUCAUUGAUUAUUUAAUUCUCUUUUAAUUAAUAGAUUUUAAAUGGUCUUAGUCCUAUUAAUUUAUAGAGAUUCUACUAAUAUAUAUCAUUCUAGCUUGCAUGUUAAAUUUUAAAUUUGUUUAUAGGGAAACUACGCCGAUGAUUAAGGCAAGUUCCGAAGUAUUCAAAACCUUUUAAAUUUAUCAACUAUCCACCCAAAAAUUUGCAUUAUAUAUAUAUAUAUUUAAUAUUGCCAUUUUAUGUGUGUGCGUGUGUGUGCGUGCACAUGUGUGAAACAACAUCAUAUUAAAUGACUAAAUUAUCCUUAUUACAUAAUAAAAUUUAAAGGUAGCUAAUGACAUAAUGAAAAUUUUAUACAUUCUACAAACUUUGGGUGGAUUGUUGAUAAUUUAAAAAAUCUUUGUAUAUUUUCAAACUUUCAUUAAAUAUUAGUGAGAAAAUUAAUAAUUCCUUUAACAAUAGUUAUUGUCCAAAUAUCCACCGACUACCUAACACUUCGUAUUUUUCAAAAAUACACCAAAACUUUUUUCUUUUGCAGUUUUUUAUCUAAAGUCUAUAAAAUGUAUCACUUUUAUACUUUGCUAUUAGUAUUGUUAGAGGAUUUAAUAGAAUAUUGAUAAAUAAUUAUUUUGUCCUGAAUGUAAAAAAAAAAAAAAAAAACCUAUUGGUUGUUAUUUUGGAUAAUUUUGGAAUGUGUUGUUAUUUUGAAUUGGUAGGAAUAAAUUGUAAACUUUAAGUUCCCUAUAACUAGUUUUAUGUCGUUAUUUUUUUAUUGGUAGGAACACACUAUAAUAUUUGAAGUUUCCUGUAACUGGUUUUAUAGUUAUUUUGAUUAUAUUUUGAAUAAUUAUGAUUGUAUUUAUUGGUGAUUUAUUGUUGUUGAAGAUUUGUCAUUGUUGUAAAAAAUAUGUUAUAUAGGAUAAAUUAUAUGAACAUGGAUUCUUGAUUUAUGUUGUAAGUGAGGUAUAAAUUAGUUGGUUUGAUGAGUCAAUAGCUACAAAAUGAAAUUUGUUUUUUAGUCAUUUAGCAAGAAUUAAAUAUGUUUUUACAUUUAGAAGUAAAAUAGUUAUUUUAUCAAUAUUUUGUUAAAUCCUCUAACAGUGUUAAUGAAAAAGUAGAAAAGUGUAUUGUAAACUUUAAGUAGAUAGCUGCAGAACAAAAAAUAUUUAGUAAUUUUUUUAUAAAAUGUGAAACAUUAGAUGGUCGAUAGAUAUUUACCCAUAGUUAUUUGAUAAAUGAACCUUAUGUAAUACCAAACAUUUCGCUAUCUUUGUAGCCGUGCACACAUACACACAUAUAUUAUUUCUAAUAUUCUUUUAUUAGUACCUAUCUCUUUAGAUAAAAAAAAAAAUUCUCUUUCAAUUUUGAUUAUUUAUCCAUUAUAGUAUCGUAUUAGAUAUUAUAUUUGACUGUUAUUAUUAUAAAUUGCCUUAAAAACAAUUCAUUAUUAUCUUAUUCGUAAUAAUGAUCAUGCAGGUAAUAUUUUAAACAUUAUACAAAUGUCUUAGUUUUUUGUAUGAUAAUGAUAGAAGUAAUGCUUUAUGUAUUAAGAAUUAUAUAAACUUGUGUAAUUUAUGGUUAUUCAGUCAUUAAUUUAAGGAUAAAACUGUAACUCUAAACAAAAACUUGGGGAAAAUAUCAAAUAUCAGCAUUUGGCAACUAAAAGGAAAAAAGACUUUUUACCCUUACGGUUUUGAUGCAAAUACUUAUUUCAUCCUUAUUUUUUAAAAAAUAAUUCAUUUCAAUCCUACCACAAUAGUCUAAAACACUUUCCUGCGAACUUACAAUUAGUUUAUUAUAUAAUUUGUUAAUGACAAAAUAAGAUUUUCAAUUAAAUAGAUGCAAAUCAUUUUAAAAUAAAAAUUUUAAAAACAAAAAAAUAACAUUUAACUAUUUGUAUAAAUUUAAAAUUUAAGAAUAAUUUAAUGAAAUAAAUAUAGCACUAAAGAAUAUGCUCUAUAUAUGUAAAUAUGUUUGUCUGCGUUUUCAUUAAAUUUUGUAAUGAAGUCUACUAAAUUUUUUUAAUAGAUAUGUAUAUGUAAUAACAACAACAACAAUAAUAAUUUUUUUUCCAAUUAAGGGUUAAUGACCAUAUUAAAGUCAAGAAUAAAUUAAAAGAUAAAAAAAUACACUCUAUUGCAGAGUAUUUUAUUCUGCAGUAGUAUAUUAAAUUUGUGUUUUUUUUCCUUAUCGUGUGCUUUUUUAAGUAAGUAUAAGAGUCUGUAUUUAUUUUUAAUAAAAUAACAGUACUAUUUAUUUAUUUAUUUUUAACCAUAUUAAAAUUAAAGACAAGCAAAAAGAUAAAAAGAAAAAGAAAAACUCACUCUAGUGCCCAUAAAAUUUAUAUUUUUUAUUUUGUCCUAAAUAUAUAAGUACAUAGUAUUUAGUAUUAUUAUUGUUAAUUUAUUAAUUAUCCUUAAACUUUAAAUUUAUAUAGAAAGUCACAUGUUAUUUAAUUAUAUUUGAUAAUCUUACUUUAAAAUAGUUUGUAUCUCCUUAACUAAAAAUUCUAUUUUUUCUCAAUGAAUUAUGUAAUAAAUUGAUGAUAAAUUAAUUUAACGGUGUUUUAAGUUAUUGUUUGAAAAAUAAGAUAAAAUCAGUUAUUAUUUAAAUAAUAAAGAUGAAAUGGACGGAUGAGGGAUAAAAGAAUUUUUUCCUGCCGAAAACUUAAAGCAGAGGAAAAAUAAUAAUAAUAAUAAUAAAGGUCACAAUCCACUUACGCACGUGUACUUUUCUUGAAUAGGCAGUUGUAAACUUUUAGUCACUGUUCAGUGACUUUAUCUUCGGGCGACGGGUUGCCUGUCGCACCCACCUGGAGAUUCAUUAAAACUGUAUUAUUUUAAUAGGACUCAAAUAAUUUUUUUUUAUAAUUUCAGGCUUAAUGGAUUCAGUUGUACUUGAAUUGUGUUACGAUGGUUGGUGGGAGACAUUAGAGAAUGGCCGUAUGGAGUACGUGAAUGGUAAAAAUUGAGCUUUUUUGGUUGGAAAAAAUUAUCUGUUUGAUCAAUUAUUGGCAAGAGUAUACGAGGUGUUACAAAUAAACCCUAAUGACUAUAGUAUCACAAUGAAGACAACUUUGAGGUCUAGUAACACAUUAUAUCGUAUAUGUGCAAUGCCCAUGGAUAUAUGUGACGAUGAAAUGGGGAGGGUUGUGUUGCAUAUGGCAUCUGACGCUGCUCUGGUAUUGGGUUUGGUAUGUCGUCAUGAUCGUCAUGCUCGUCUGAUUGCCUUGUAACCGACGGCAUCGCGUUGAUUGAGGGUUGGUGUUGUAUAAAGUAUCAUUUAAAAUUAGUAAAUGAAAAGUCAAAAAUUUCGAUUAACAAAUUUUUAGUACUUAGAGUAUACCGGCCUUAUGAACCCAGUUUGGAAUGCUUGGCAAGUAAUCCUUCACAGAGAGCCAAUAUUUUCUGCUACUCUCCUUUGAAUUUGGCUCAAGAGUUUGUAAAACGUCCCCCUGCCAUAAAUUCAAUUGAAAAUUUUAAGUAAUUAUACAUUUCUUAAAUUUAGUAAAGUUAAAAAAAUAAGUAAUACAUAUUGCUUACAAGACGAGAUUCGUCGUUGAAGAACGAAUAAACCUCAGCAAAGUUGAUUCUCAAAGACACCAUGGGCUUCCAUUGCAGAAUGCGGGGAAUCUUAUUCUUCGUUUUGACGACCCAUGUUGAUGGCAACCCUCCGAUUGCUUCGUAAAUCCAAGCCUACAACAACCAAAGUGAAAAAUCAAACAAAACAACUAUCAAAUAUUUAAUACUAUAAAACUUAUUAAUAAACAAAAAAAAAGCACCUGAACCCCAGACGUAAAGCCGUAAAGAUUGUAUUUUUCAAUAUUAUGAUCUGGAUUUUUCAACAGAGUCUUCUUAAAUUUCUCGUCUUUCUCGAACAGUGCAUUGUCAAGACUCUCGUAAAUCAUUUCCCACGACAAUAGACCCCAUGGACGCUUUCGGAAGUACUAGAUAUCAUCAACUUGGUCAAGCCAAUCGAAAUUAAUUUGGCAGUGAUUUUUUCUUGCAUUUAGUACUCUGUCCGCAAAAUAAAACAGCUCAAUCUUUAAUGCGUCCAUAUCGUCCAUUUCCUCGAAUUUCAACUCCUUAAAUACUGCAUCGAAUUGCUUCACAUUAAUCUUACGAUGCACCCCACCAAAAUACGUAUUCCGUAGCCUCUGCUCCAUUUCAUCAUUUUCUUGAUUGGUAUCAACACCAAAUGAAAGUCCAGUAACCAAGCACCAUUCGACAAUUGACAAGCGAAUCAAAUGCUUACUAAUUUGAAACCAUAACUGAUCCUCACGACUAUCUUCUUCAUGGGCCACUUGCCGCAGUAAAAGAUUGUGCAAAAUUACCCCACUAAAUAGAAAACUUCGACACUCCAAGAAAUGCCCAAAUAUAUCCUUUUUGAACAUACUCAACUGCCGCUUUGUUAAUUUUUCCUCGAUGGCUUUUACGACCGAAGAUAACAUACACAUGCUCGAAAUUCGACUAGGAAAGUGAUCAGCAUAACGAAAAUACAUUUUGCCUACUUCAAUAUCCGGUGAUUCUGAUUUCGCUAUGUAUCUGUAAUAUUUAUAAAAUUAUUACAUUAGAGAAAAAAAAAUUGACUCGUUAAAAAAAAACUAUAAUUUUUUGUGCGACAGGCGUUUGUCGCACCAAAAAAUUGGUGCGACAGCCAAGCCUGUCGAUCCAAAAAAUUGGUGCGAUAGCCAAGCCUGUCGCACCAAAACUGGUGCGACAAGCGCGCCUGUCGCACCAGCUUUGGUGCGACAGCAAGCCGCGCAUGGGCGCGCGCUGCUGCCCAGCGAUGGGCGCGCGCGCGCCCUGCCCCCCUCCCUCCCCACCCCUAAAAUUAAGCGCAAUCACUCCAAAAUCGAAAACAAUACUCCCAAACACCACCAACCACCACAAACAUCAUCACCACCACUAUUAUUCUCAAGCUAUAACUAUUAUUAUUCUAAAAUCUCAUUUUAAAUUAAUGAAAAUAAGAAAAAUAACUAACCUAGGUUUUGUUGAAGGUUGUAGAUCGUAGAUCGGAUGCCGGUGAGAGAUGGAGCCGCCGCCGACGAGGGUUGAUGUCGCUGCCGAUGAUGGGAGUUGGAUCGGUUUGGGAGAGAUGAGUGAAAGGGAGUGUUGGGGGAGAGAUGAGGGAGGGGUAUUUUGGUCUCAAAUGUUGUUUUAUGGUUAAUGUUGAUAGAAAUAUUUUUGGGGGGUUAAGAUGAAAAAAAGCAAAAAUUUUUUGGUUAUUACUGUAAAUUUCCCUAAUUUUUUCCUUCUAUUAGUUCGUCAAAGUUGUACGGACGGAUAUUCCGGUGUAACGAGGCUCUGUAUUUUUUCUGGGCAACAAAAAAGAAAAUACUAUCGGAUCUGAGAUGGUUUUUUUUUACUAGAUUUUAUGUGAUCAUUUUUUGCAUGUUACCAAUAUUCUUUGGACAAAAAUAAAUUUAAUCUACUAAGAAUAUAGUUUUUUUUUUUUUUUUCACUUUAAUGCUCCAAAUUUUUACACUAUGAGGAAGAAGCUCGAUACACGUUUUCCAGCUGUAAGUCUUCUAUUUCUCUCUCUUUUAUUUAAUUAUUCUAGCUUAGUAGCUUAAUUUACUGAUUGAUUGGUUGAUAAUUAGGAUUUCUUGUUUUUUUUGCCCUAAAAGUUAGUUUAUAUAUAUUUUUAAUUUCAUUUUUUGAUAUUUGUGGGAAUAUUUGAUCUGGGUCGGCUUUUCCUCGUAAUUUGAAAUUGGUUUCUUUGCUUGAAUCGAUAUUUACUAGAACUUAGUUGUGGGUUCUCAGUUUUAGGGAUUUACGGGGCAUGGGUGAUCUGGGUGGUGUUUUGAUCUAAUUUUGGAUUCUACUGAUUGAUUAUGAUGGUGGUGUGUUGUAAAAAUUUUUUUAUGGGAGGCUCAGUUUCGGGUGACUUAUGUUACAAAAUGACCUGGGUUUUAUCUUGUUUUUUGUUUUAGAUACUUGCAUAGUAGGAUUGUGGCUUCUAAUGAAAUAAAGUUGCUUUUUAUUUUAUGUCUAGGGUAUUAAUGGGGAUCUUUGGUUACAUUUGUACUUCGCCUGUUCAUGAUUGUGUAGGUUAAAAGUCAAUUGAGUGUUACAUAGUUUUGUGGGAGUUGUGUGGGGAAUUUUUAUGUUGCUUGUGUGUUUGGGGGUCUAUUUAGUGGUUUAGUUCUGAAGCCAGUAGGUGUCACAUUCUUAGGGAUGUCAUGGGGUUUUUAAUUUGCUUUUGUUUCGUGGAAGAUAUCGGUUUUAUCCCAUAACUAUGAUUAACAUGUAAAUUAUAUUGGACGUAUGGUUUCCUUGUUGUUAGAGCCUUUUUGCAUACUUGUUUUUGGAGAUGAGAAUAUCUGUUUUUCUCCAUUAGUGCAUCUCUGUUGCCACUCUCUUGUUUAAGGAUAGAAUGACAGAAUUAUGUUAUUAGAGUUCUAUUUUAUGUUACCUUGACUUGGCUUUUUUGGACAUAGAAUAGAUCAAUUUUCCAUCCGCCAAAUUACUCAAAUUAAGUUUGGGUUUCACGCAUUUGGUAACAUUUGAUCUGAGGACUUUAGCCUGUUAUGCAUGUAUGGUUCCCCUCCUUUCUACUUUAUAUUUUGCAUGGUGCAUCGUGCCUUAAUUUUCUAUAGAUAGGUCAAUGUUUUCAUCAAACCUUUUGCCUUAUCUUUCUAUAAAUAGGUCAACGUUUACGUCAAACUUUCCACCUGCUCGAGUAGCCUGUAGCUUGAUUAAAUUGAAAAAUUUUGUGUAGCAGAAAUAUUGAAACUUUAUUGCUGCUUUUAAUCUCUGUUUUAUGUUUGGAAUAGGUUGAUCAUUUUACGAGGUUUGAAGUGGGUUGGAAGUUUCUUGUCAUAUGACUCUAGCCUUGUUGGCUGAGUUGGGAUGUUGCUUUGUAAUAGAAAUCAUUGUGGGAGUCUAUGCAUUUGUGUUAGACAUAGACAUGGCGCCUGGGUCUUGUGUCAAUAUUUUGUUAACAUACUUUAUCCUAUUCUAUUUCAGGGCUUUUGUUGUAAGGGAUCAUAUUUAUUUCUUUCAUUUCAUCUACCCUCAUUAAGUUAUUGAGGCAGGCUUUUGAGAUUGAGUUAGCACUGACUUUAUAUCAAAUCUGAGACUUAUCAAGAAAUGAUCGAAUCAGGUCUCUACAGAAGAAUUAAAUAUCUGAUAAUGGUCGGUGAUAACAUAGUCAUCUUGAGAAUAUUUGCAAAGCAUAUGGUAUUGACUAGAUGGCAUUGGUCAGUAUGUAGCAAGUUUUGAACUCAGUCUCCAGUGUUGUGCUUGGAAGCUUCAGUUACCAAAUUAGUUCAUGUCAAUUAGAUGUUGAGCUGGAGAUAAUUUUAAUUGAAAACAACUUUUUGCUUGUAGGCUUUCUGGAAUACAUGUAGAGGCUCGAGUUUCUAGGUUUUGUUUGCUUAGAGGGAGGGAUGACAAUCUUGUCUGCAGAAUAGGCAGCCUUUUUGUUUGCCCUGCUGCUCUCUAAAAUAUCUUUACUGCUGAGAACCUAACCAAGAGGAGGGAGGAUUGUUGAGAACUACUGCUAUAUUUUUUAGUGAAAUAGUGGAAGUUUGUUGAUCAAUUGUUGUUUUCAUUGUGAGAUUGUUUGAAAGAUUUGGACGCAAUCUUUUCUUUGUUUGGCCUGGGAUGGAGUUUUUGUGUUGUGGAGGUUGUUGGCACUGUUAUCUGUGGUGAUAACACAGAAACGUAGCUUGGAAGACUGCUCCUAUUUGAUUGAGUUAGUGCUUUGGAAUGAAAGGAGUGGCUGACCUUUGAGAGUAUCUUCAAUCGUUAUCAUGACUUGAAUCUGACUUAUUAGAAGUUUAUUUGGCUCUUUGGAAGGCUUCACUAUUUGGUUCUUUGGCAGCGUCCCCUUUCCUUUGGCCACUUGUAUUGUUGAUUUUCUUAGAAUUUCUCUUUCCUUAAGUUUUCCUUUCCUUGUCGCUCUGCACUCACGAUUUUUAGAGGGCACUGAAAUUGAAAAUUAUCUUUACCUGUCCAUGUUAUUUUUUAUCUGCUGUUACUUUCAUUAUGUGACUUAGUCUUGUAAUCUGACAAAUAGGAUUAAAAAAAAUGUGCAGGCUCGAAUUAAAAAGAUAAUGCAAGCUGAUGAGGAUGUUGGGAAGAUAGCAUUGGCUGUCCCUGUUCUAGUUUGUAAGUAGCCGUGGCUGCUUGGCCUUAUUUUCUUGCAACAUCAAUGCUUUUGUGUUAUUUAUUCUCUUUUUGGGUAUUCUUGUAGCAAAAGCUUUGGAAUUAUUUUUCCAAGACCUUUGUGAUCGUACAUAUGAGAUAACCCUUCAGAGAGGAGCAAAGACAAUGAGUUCCUUGCAUUUGUAAGUGUCAAUAACCUUCCUUUGCUCAAUUCUUUUCUUCUUUAGCUGUAAAUGUGAUUAAUAUGUGAACUUGAAGUUGGACUCUGUAUUUCAAGAUGUUCUCGCCAGUAUCAAUUGUUAGGUUCUUGGGGAUUGUUACAUUCCCCUUUGUUUUUUACGAGCAACUUUAGAUUAAUAGAGGGACUAAUUAAAUAUAGACUUCAAUUGUUAUGUAGUUGCCGGGGAAAAAAAAAAAUGUAGUUGCUGAAUAAAUCAUUGAUCGAGGUAUGUGAUCUAAAGCUUUUGCCUUAAUGUUAGGUGUAGCAGAAUAAUAAGUUGUGUAAGGCAAAUUACAGAUUAAUACUUUUGUUUAAUUCUUGAGUUUCAGGUAAAAGGAAAUGUUUAUACAAUUGUCCACAUGGCAAAGAAUCUUCUGUAGAUAAAUUACAUUUAAAAGUACUUGUUUAUCCUUUUUGCUUCUACUUUUAAAUUCCUGAAGAAUUACUUACCUGCUAGACCAUUGAAAUUUGUGAAAAUAUGGUUAAAAAAAAUGGCCUACUAACUGUGAUUGUUUCUCAGAACUAAAUUAUCAUUAAAGGUCAGUUUCUGGUGUGUAUGGUUCCACUAUGCCUUGAUGUCUUGGUCACUUGUAUCAAAGCUGAGUGCAUGAGAAGUAUUCUGAUUCUUGCAUAUGUUUGACUGAGGAGGUAACUGUAGUUGGUGUUUUUUGUUUCACUGGAUGUUAUGUCGUGAAUCAUGAAUUGUUUGAGGUCUUUUUUACACAUAUAAAUGACUUCUUAUUGUGUCGUGCAAUGUAACUUACCCAGAAUUAGAAAAUUGGUAAAGUAGAAAAGAAGAGACUAGAUUUGAUCUUAGCUUUCUCUGACAAACAUUUAUGAGUUUUUCCUUCAUAAGAAUUAUCAAUAUGUUUGAUAAUAGUACCUACCAGCCAAAAGUAUGAUAAGAUAACUGAGUCAAUUUGAUAAUUAACCACAGGAAGUGGUUCUUUAUUUGAGAAAUGUGCAUAUCGAGCUGGUAAUAUAUUUGAGAUUGAUAGCGCAGCAUGUUAAUGUUGUUUGAUGGAAUCAAUAAUAUUCAUGAAGUUAAUCUGUGCAAUGCAAAAAGCUUGAAGUCAGAUGCCUUGGAUAAUGAAUUAAUUAAUGUUUUUUUUUUUUAAGUUAUCUUCCAAGACUCUUUUAUCUGAUUUGAGUUAUUUGUCUCUGGUUUAUGUCUGCUUGUGAUCAACAAUUCUUCAUUUUGCUUCAAUGUUUCAGAGUAUGAUCGAAGCCUGUAUAAUGAGAUUCAAUUAAACUAGGCAUAGUUCUUCAUAGUUAUACCGUAUGAAGAAUCUGUCUAAUAUUAAAUGGCGGGCAGUAGUCAACUUUUCUUAGCAUGCUUUAUCCUUGCUAGGGCAACUUAACAUGGUAUCAAAGCUAAAUUGACUUAAUCUUGUGUUCAGUCUCCUUGUUGAAUUAAUUAAUUUAUGAAAUUGGGGAAUGGUAAAAUUGUGCCAGCCACUUAAAAGAAAGUGAUGGAGAAAUUGUGUAAGACUGGCAGCCUCAAAGCUGUAAGAAUUCAGGAGUAUUUGGGGGCUAUAUAUAUGAAGAGAAAACCUCUUAUUAGUGGAAAGCAGUUUACAAAUAGAGGAUGUGUGUUGAGGCAACAUUAUUAUGGCCCCGCUUGCUACUACGGUGCUGUAGAAAAAAUGCUGCUUUUAAAUACUAAUUUUUACAAAAGCAGCAAAUAUAUUGUAGAUUUUUCAUCAUAUGACUGUAGGAUCAAAUCAACAUAGCUUCCAAGUCAUAGCAGCCACUGUUUACCAAACAAUUAAGAUUUUAAAAGAGUGUUUUAAGUGAAAACUUAUAUUUUUAUAUUAUCAAUUGAGCGUGCAAAGCAAAUAAGUGUUCAAAGUAGAUUUUGAGUACAAAUAAUCCACCCAUAAAAAUAUCAUGCGCCACAAGAUGAGUGACAUUGCUCACUACAAAUUAAAAAAAAAAUCAUAUAUUCAUGAGAAAUAUUAAUAUAGGCAUACCAAAUAGUCUCUCGAAACUACUAUAAGAUUUUCUUAGUUCGUUCGAAUUCUUUCUUAAUCAUUUGGAGAAAUAAGAGAGGCUGUUUAUUUAUUUGAUUUGAUUUAAUUAAUUAUUUUGAUAGAAAUUAUAUUAAAUUAUAUAGAGACAGUAAUGGGUUUUCCUUGCUUGUAAUGGUUGAUAGGCUAACAGCAAGAAAAGCUUACACAAUUUAAAUUGCAAAAUAAGUGCGCUUCUAUAAUUUGUUUACUAUUUUAUGAACAAAAGAAGAAAAAGAAAAAAUUCCAAAGUUAAAAUCUUCUAUACGCCGAAGGAAAGAGAAAUGACAAAUUGUACGAAUUACAGAGCUUUUGAAGUGGAGUCCACCUACUGUGUGACCCAAAAGAGCCGUAUCUGGAUUUCAUAAACAAAAGUACUUUUAAAGUUACAAAUUACUGACGAGAAUGAGACCCUAAAACUGAGAACAUAGAAGAGAGAGUACUUUCAAGUCUCAAUUAAAAUGUAGAGAAAAAGAAAAAAAAAUUGUGCUUGUAAUAGAGCUAUCUCUCAAGCCAACAUUUCUAGCUAGCAAAGGAUGGAAGGAAUGAUUUUAGAUAAUAUAUUUUCAAUAAAUGAAAAAAAUUUUUCCAGUUUGAUGAUUGCAAAUAACAUUCUUUACUUCCACUCUUUAUUAUUAUUAUUAUUUUUAAAAAAUUUUAACUCUUUAAUUCAUGUUCUUGUUCUCGCGAAUGUGUUUAGUCAAUUUCGUGAUCAUCUCAUCAAAUCCCUAACGUUAACAUAAUCAUAAUCUAUUAAUGAAAUUUAUUUAUUUUCUAUAAUAAUAAUCAAAAUGAAUAUUUGUUCAUGUAAUUUUAUGACGAUGAGUUAUCAUUUUUUCUUUUAUACAUAAAAACAAUUUGUAAAUAAUGGCCACGUUGAACUAAUAACGCAACAACGCUUGUGGGAACAAAUUAAAUAAUAAAAAAUUUAAAGCAGCGAUUUGGCAAUACAAAAUUGAAGAACAGAAAAAUUAAAAAUGAAAAGGUAAGUAACCCUAAACUGUCUGUGGUGGCCCACCAACAAAGCUCUAAAGAGCUAUCACUUUAUCUUGACUUAUUAAUUAUUUACUAAUGGGUUCAUUUUUGUUGCACGCCCUCUUGAUGGAGUCAAAAUUUUACCUCGUCAUGCUCUCAAGUCUUGAGAUUAAACAGGGGUGAGUCUAUCCUCCCUCUCCACUUUGCACCUACCUACCUGAACUCUUCGACGGAUCAGCACUCUUUCCUGGAAUGGGUUCUGAGAAAUAACAGAUCUCAGCAGCUUUGACNNNNNNNNNNNNNNNNNNNNNNNNNNNNNNNNNNNNNNNNNNNNNNNNNNNNNNNNNNNNNNNNNNNNNNNNNNNNNNNNNNNNNNNNNNNNNNNNNNNNNNNNNNNNNNNNNNNNNNNNNNNNNNNNNNNNNNNNNNNNNNNNNNNNNNNNNNNNNNNNNNNNNNNNNNNNNNNNNNNNNNNNNNNNNNNNNNNNNNNNNNNNNNNNNNNNNNNNNNNNNNNNNNNNNNNNNNNNNNNNNNNNNNNNNNNNNNNNNNNNNNNNNNNNNNNNNNNNNNNNNNNNNNNNNNNNNNNNNNNNNNNNNNNNNNNNNNNNNNNNNNNNNNNNNNNNNNNNNNNNNNNNNNNNNNNNNNNNNNNNNNNNNNNNNNNNNNNNNNNNNNNNNNNNNNNNNNNNNNNNNNNNNNNNNNNNNNNNNNNNNNNNNNNUAAAGAAUGUUAUAUACAAUCAUCAAACUGGAAAAAAAAAAGUUUUCAUUUGUUGGAAAUAUAUUAUCUAAAAUCCUUCCUUCCAUCCUUUGCUAGCUAGAAAUGUUGGCUUGAGAGAUGAGCUCUAUUACAAGCACAAUUUUUUCUUUUUCUUUUUCUCUACAUUUUAAUUGAGACUUGAAAGUACUCUCUUCUAUGUUCUCAGUUUUAGGGUCCCAUUCUCGUUAGUAAUUUGUAACUUUAAAAGCGAUUUUGUUUAUGAAAUCCAGAUACGGCUCUUUGGGUCACAUAGUAGGUAGACUCCACUUCAAAAGCUCUGUAGUUCGUACAAUUUGUCAUUUCUCUUUCCUUUAGGGCAUAGAAGAUUUUAACUUUGGAAUUUUUCCUUUUUGUUCAUAAAAUAGUAAACAAAUUAUAGAAGCGCACUUAUUUUGCGAUUUAAUUGUGUAAGCUUUUCUUGCUGUUAGCCUGUCAACCAUUACAAGCAAGGAAAACCCAUUACUGUCUCUAUAUAAUUUAAUAUAAUUUCUAUCAAAAUAAUUAAUUAAAUCAAAUCAAAUAAAUAAAAGCCUCUCCUAUUUCUCCAAAUGAUUAAGAAAGAAUUCGAAUGAACUAAGAAAAUCUUAUAGUAGUUUCGAGAGACUAUUUGGUAUGCCUAUAUUAAUAUUUCUCAUGAGCAUAUGAUUUACUUUUUUUUAAUUUGUAGUGAGCAAUGCCACUCAUCUUGUGGUGCAUGAUAUUUUUAUGGGUGGAUUAUUUGUACUCUAAAAAUCUACUUUAAACACUUAUUUGCUUUGCACACUCAAUUGAUAAUAUAAAAAUAUAAGUUUUCACUUAACACACUCUUUCAAAUUCCUAUAUUGUUCCCAUUCACUACUAAAAAGCAUUGAUUUAUGACAGAUUUUUUAUGAUGGAUAUCGUUGUGUCACGAAUCCAUCGUAGAAGCAUAACAUUUUUGUGACAUAUAAAAUAUAUAUCAAGAAUUUAUGACAUAUUUGUGACUUAUAGCUUAAUGACAUAAGUCGAUGAUAGAUAAGAGUCAUGCUUGAAUUUGCUAUUAUUAACAAAUUAAAACGACACAUUUAAAUUCAUGAUAGAUAUCGUCGUUUGAUGAGCAUGGUAGAUAUCUAUCAUGAAUUGAAAUGGUGCAAUUUUUAUAAGCUAGUUAUUUUAGUUUUUAAAGUCUAAGGGCUUGUUUGGGUUAGCUUUUGCUUUUACUUCUACUUAAAAGUAAAAGAUAAGUAAAAGCAUCGUUGUCUUUGCUUUUUCAACCUUGGGUAAGAAACAGGAAACAAGGGCUCAUUCAAAAUUACUCACCCAUCAAUCACUUAAUUAAAAUAGACCAAUUGGCCACUAACCAUUUUCUUGUUCACUACAUUUUGUAAGAAAUAAACAAUUCAAUUUGUUUAAUUUAACAUAGAAUGGCACCCACCAUGCAGUCAUGAGGUUCUGUUUUAUAUAUAAUGAACCGUCUCUAAUCAGUACGAGGUUUGUAAAAAUUUAUCAGGAUGCUAUUUGGUCCUUGAGUCAAAAGAGCUAGUCAUCAUCAGAACUAGAUUCUAGAAUUUUUGGGGUCAAGUUCAUACUUAUCUGAUUGGCACAUUUCUUAUCAGAAAAAAGGAUGUGAGAGUAAUAAAGAUAAUGAUAAUGGCAGAGUAAUAAUAAUAAAAUGUUAUGCAUAAUCAUAUUUAUCUAAAUGACAAGUGAAACUGAAUAUGAUAGGUAAGAUCCCCUGGCCAAUAAUGAACCAAGGUUAUAUUUUUUAUGUUUUAUGUCAUUAGUCUCUCAUGCUUCUUGUAUGUAUAACAUUCAGCUCUUUUGGGGAGAGAAGUGAUAUAGAUGCACUAUUAAUGUAGGAAACUAUUAUAGUAAAAAUAUUGUAGUUUAAUUAAAUUUUUUAUGUAAUUUUAUCUAGCAAUAUAACUAUGACUAUAGAAAGCAAAAAGUUCAUAAACAUUUUAAAUAAUAUGCUUGAAAAAUCAAAUAUUUAUAAUAGUACCUCUCAAAAUACCAUGCAAGAGUACCAGUAACAAUAGUGGUAAACAUGAAUGAGUGAGCCACAGGUAUGACCAAAUGCAUCCUGUUGCUGCCCCAGCUACUUAAGUAUGUCUGCACUAAUUGCAGAAAGUAAACUUUUUAUCUAUCCAAAAUCUUUUUGUCAUAAUGAUAGUAUACUUUUUGCGAUUGGCACGGACAUACUUGAGCAGCUGAUGGGCAACAGCAGGAUGCAUUUAGCCAUACCGAUGGCUCACCCUUUCACAAUCGCCACCGCUGUUAUUAGUACUUUUGCAUGGCAUUCCAAGAGGUAAUAUUAUAGACUAUUUGGUGUUUCAAGCAUAAUGUUUUUAACACCAUUUAAAACGUUUAUAAAGCUUUUGCUUUUUGUAGUCAUGGUUAUAUUGCUAGAUUAAAUUACACAAAGAAUUUAAUUAGAUUAUAAUAUUUUUACUAUAAUGGAUUCCUACAUUAAUAGUGUAUCUAUAUCACUUCUCUCCUCAAAGGAGCUAUGAUAAUAUCAACAUAAUUGAAUAUUAUACAUAUAAGAAGCAUGAGAGACUACUAGUAUAUGAAACAUCAAAAAUAUAUCCUUGGUUCGUUGUUGGCCAAGAGGUCUUAUCUAUUAUAUUUAGUUUCAUUUGUCAUUUAGAUAAAUAUAAUUAUGCAUAACAUUUUAUUGUUAUGCAAUGUAUUUGUAAUUUCUUGUAAGUAACGGGACUUAUUUUGUUAUUAUGUUGGCAGACUCAUUUAAAUCACCAAUUUCCACUUCUGUUGACUAAUACAACUAUUAUCGGUUUCUUUGCAGCAAUUCGUGUUUGUUUGCAAUUUAUGAGCAAAAAGAUUUGGGCAACUGGAUAUUGAGCUUCAACAUUAGAUUGUUAGCAGUUAUCAUGUCGGUAAGUCUUUUAUAAUCAUAUACUCAGCUAAUAUAAAAAAAAAAAUUUAUCGUAAUGUGAGAUAUUAUAUAUAUAUAUAUAUACCUAGGUAUUUUGGCUUCUAGUUUGAACACUGUGUAUGCAUGUUGGUGACGAGAACUCUUAUUUUGUAGCAAUAUUUAGCCUCUUCAGCAAGUUUUUUAAAUUGUCGUAGCUAUUUAUUUCGUAUCUAAAUAGGUAACAAUUUCUUUUUUCUUUUUUUUUUCCUUUUCCUUCUGCAAGGAACAUCUAAUAUUUGAAUUUAUCUUCAUUUUUCAUGGCUAGAAAUUUUGAGUUUCAGCCUAGUAGUUGGAUUGGUAAUUUUUGGCGUGAUGUUUGUCUUUCUAUGGGCAGAUGAAAAGGGAACCAAAAAAAAAAAAAAAAGACAAGAACAAGUAGUUGAAUAUAUAGAGCUAGCUAGAGAUAAAAUUGAACCAGCAAGAGAAGCUAUUGGAGAGAUGACAGAGAUAUUAUAAUUUUCUUAUUUUAUUUUAAUCGUAUUGGAAUUUGCUAUGAGGAUACUUUAUCUUUGAUUCUUAGUAUUCAAAAAAUUCAAUAUAUUUAUUGUUGUUAUAUAUUAUAAACUUUUCUAUUCUAAUUGAUAUAGUUUAAUUGAUUUAUUUGACAUUUGCAGCUUUAGUAUCCUUGAAAUUGCAUUUGAGUAUUGAGAGACUUGAGUUGGAAGAUGAAAAUUGGUGUGUAAUGUGAUUUUUUUAUAUCUACUCGAAUUAGAAACUUAAAAGUUUGGGCCAAUUUGAGAAGAAGGCUUGUUUAUGCUAAUUCAUCACAGCUUCUCCAGUAACCGACAACAAAACUAACAAGGGGAAAAUCAAAUCUUAUAGCUAUAAGAUUGCUGAUUUAAUUUGAAUAAGUUUUUAAGUGUCCUUAGUAGCUUGUUAUUGCUAAACAAUAUCACAAGAAAAUGAUUGCAUGUAAACUAUAGGGUUAUCUAAUUUCUAUGUACUGUAAUUAGUAACCAAAAUAAUUUUUCCGUCUAAAUUAUUACUACCAGAGACUUACAGACGUCGUCAACUUAGUUCACUUUUUAUUUUUCUAUUUUCAGUUUGUUUGAUAUGGUGAAAGUUGUUUAUAAAUAGAGUAAUGAUAUAGCUACAAAUUCUUGUACAAACUUAUUUUGUACAAACUGAUGUAGCAUGAUAAAAUUGGUUGAAUUAAAUAUUUUUUGGCUCACAUGAUUUAUUUAUAUUAUUUCAUGAUUUAUUUAUAUUAUUUUAUAUUUUCAUUCAAUUAAUGAAUUAAUAACACGUUAGUUUGUACAAGAUAAAUUUGUACAAAAUAAAUUUGUACAAGAAUUUAUGGAUAUAUCAUCACUCUUAUAAAUAUUAACUUACUAAGCAAGGAACAAUUGGAAAACUAAAAAAAUUUACACUUACGGUUUUGUAUGACAUGAGGUUAAAGUUGUAUAAAAUAUCAUCAUUUCUUCCAUUGAGCCUUGUGUUUGAAAAUUGUGUUACUUUCCGGUGUAUCUGAGCUUGACUGUGCGUGAUAAUUGUUUUUUUUUUAAAUGUUUGCUCUAGUAAAUAUAUGAGAGUUAAUUGUGGCUAUGAUGAGACAAUAAGGACAUCGCUUGGGUCUACUGCAACUUUAUAAGUUGUCUUUAGAAUUUAGCUGUUUGUAAUCUAUGAACAAAAAGAUUGGAACAACUGGAUAUUGGGCUUCAAUAUUUUAUAUAUAUAUAUAGGAUCGAAGGAUGGAUGCGAAUUAAGAAGAUCUGCAAUUUUAAACUCUAAAUAAUACAAUUGAACAAUAUGGUUGUUCUUUGAUACGCGGUUGAUUGCUUUUAAUUAUAAUUAAAUUGGUACGUGGCUUGUUAACCAUCAGUGCGGACCAGACUAGUGCCCAUUCGGGUUCACCUCUGGAACUUACGUCGAUGGAUUCCCGCCGAUAUACUCUUUUAAUUAAUGCUUUACCAAAUAUGGAUUAGAUAUUUAAACAAGCCUAGCAACAGAUCUAAAGGCUCAUAUAUAGUACUAGAUCUGGUUCCCAGAAAUAGCACUCUGAUUGGAUGGAGGGAGAAAAAAAGAUACAACUGAGGAUUGAGAUCUGGUCUAGUUGCCUCAGAGGAAUGUAACAAUUUAUAUGGCAGAUCUGAUACAGAUCAGUCUACAAAGCAUGCAUAAAAUUUAAAUUACUGAAAUUUAAAUGCUUUAAAAUAAAUUAUGAAAAUUAAAAUGCUUUAAAUUAAAUUACAGAAAUUUAAACAUACAGAACUUUAAACUUAUUAUAAACUUUAAAAGGAACUACAAAUCUUAUAUUUGAUUUUGCUUUAUUUUGUUCUUCUUUAAAGAACAGUAUAGAAGAAAUGGGAAAUUAAUCUGAAGACAGGAAAAAUUCCUUGUUGUCUUCCGAUUCCUGAUUCCCAGAGAGAGAGAGAAAGAGAAAAGAAGAGAAGGAGAGGAAAGAGAGAGAGAGGAAUUGGAAAAUUCUGAGGAGUCUAAGUUUUCCUCCAGAAUUAUAUACAAAAUUUUUAAUCUUUAACUGCAGCGAGUCUGUACCUUCUCCACUGUAGCGAAACUGUAGCUUGGAACAGUAGUCUUUGUUACGAAAAUGAACAUUCUUUUAAAAAUACAAGUAUAACUCGGGUGAAAAGACAUGUGCGCUCUCACUUGUGUCCAGGGGACCACCCGAAUGUACAAACAUACAUAUAUAUAAGAAAGGAAAAUACCUAAAAUACAAAUGUAAAAAUAAUUACAAUGGGAGUGCGGAAAAAUGAAAAUUUACUCUUUUUUUUUUCAAAUGAUAAUUAUUUACAAUGCUUUAUCGGAGAGAAAAUUUCAAAACAGUCGUCUUCAUUUUCAUGUCCAAGAGAAAUAAAUGGCUCUUCAUUGCCUUCAUCAUCAUCAGAGGAGUCGGCAACUGAAGAUUUGAAUCUUGAUGUGAGGAGCUGCUCCAUAACUUUAAAAUAUUCUUCUUCAGUUUUGGCGCUGGGCAAAAGAGAUUGGGCUUUGGAUUUUUGGGUAAGAAAUAUUUCUUGGGCUUUAACAUCUUUGAUGGUGGGGGGUAAGAAGCCUUUAGAACAGAGCCAAUUUUGGAUCAGAGUGUUAGUUAAUUUGGUCUGUUCGUCAAACUUUGACCACCAUUUUACUUUAAAGGCUCUUUGUAAAAUGAGUUGGGCUUCUUGGGUAUGAUAUCUGAAAUUCCACAUCCAUACCCAUGGGAGGAAUAAAUUUGUACAGAAACAGAGAAAUGGGGGAAACCUUUUCUCGGAUUCAGAAGGGAUAUAAUGGGUUUUAAAGAGGUUUAAACAAUGGGUGGCAUUUGGAGUUAAAAUCUGAGGAAUUGGGCCAAAAGAGUUCCACCAUUGUUGAAACCAAUUAGGGAGGCUUUGAACGGUUAUUUUUGAAUUGAAGAAAAAUAACCAGGAAUGAGAUUUCUUUGGGUUUUGUAUGAAAAAUGUGUUAAAUCAUGUUUGUUGGUAAUUCCAAUAGGAAUAAGACAAACAAUGUGGUAAACGCAUUUGAAAAUUUGGAGGGAAGCUUUUUUGUUUGUGGAGUUAGUCCCCCCACUGGUUUGGGCUCAAGACUUUCAGAAUAGUAGCCGUGGAGUAGGCUGGAUCUGAAUGAGUUUCACUGAGAAAGAAAUGCUUGAAUUUUACAAACUCAGUAGCUUCUAAAAUGCUUUGAUAAUAAGACUGGGGUUUUGUCAAAUCCCAAAAUUUGAAAAACCAGCCUUUAGGGAAAAACUUUGAAAUAGCUUGAAAAGGACUAGUAUGGUAAAAACCAUCCUACAUAGAUAAAAUAUUUUGGAAAUGAGUUUUAUCAAACCAAUCGGAAGUUUUCUUUAAAAGUUUUGGCUGGGAAAGAACAAUUUGAGAAGAUGAACUUUCACCAGAAAUAACCACAUUUUGAGAAGAGGGUUUUGAAAUCUCUUUAGGAAUAUUUUCUUGAGGAGAAAUUUAGCUUUGAGAAAAACUUUGUAGAGCGAGCAUAAGCUCAGGGGAUUUAGAAAUGGAUUUCCUCCAUUCAUUUAUCUGCUCGUGAGAGGCAAGUGCUUUAGACUGGGCUUCUUGAUCUUCUAUUAUGUCGAUCCAAGACUUGAUUGGCAUGGCAGAAGAAAGUAAUUUUUCUUUAGGUGGAGAGGUUUGGGAAGCUUUAGAAGGUGUUUGGGACACAUGGUCUUUAAGAAUCCCUUUCUCAUUGUCUUUCUUUUUAGGCGGCAUUUAUCUGUUUUGGAGAAAUUCUCUAGUUAGAAAAUCAGGGAUAGAAUUUGUAUCUCCUUUAAUAAAUUCAAUAUCAAUAUAAAAAACACUUAAAAUAGCUUGCCAUCGUGCAAAAAUUUAUUUUGAUGCAAUAUUUUGAACAUCUUUUUCUAAAACAUGUUUUGCAGCUUUGCAGCUUUGCAAUCAAUUCUAAGUAAAAAUUUUUGAUUUAGUAAAUCACUUUGGAAUUUGAAAAUGAGCAAAACAAUAGAAAGAAUUUCCUUUUUGAUAGUAGAAUAAUUUUUCUGGCAUUCAUUCCAGUGGGCAGAAAUGCAUUGUACUAUUUGUUCUAUUUCAUCUUCCUUUUGUUUUAAUAUGCCUCCAUAACCUAAAUCUGAUGCAUAUGUUUCAACAAUUUUAGGUAAUGUAGGAUUUGCAAGAAAUAAACAUGGAAUGUUUUUAACAUAAUUUUUUAUUAGUCUAACAGUUUUAGUAUGUUCAUCUGUCCAAGCAACGGGAUUCUUUCUUAGCCUAUCAUGCAGUGGUUUAGACAUCCUAUUGAUGUUGGGACAAAAAUCAAGAACAUAAUUUAAACUACCUAGAAACCUUUGUAGUUGUGUUUUAUCAAGAAUUUUAUCAGGAAAUUUAUCAGUAAAUAAAAGGGAUCGCUCAAUAGGCGUAAUAGUUCCUUUAGAAAUAUAGUGAUCAAGGAAUCUGACUUUUGUUUGAAACAAUGAGACUUUAGAACUAGAAAUGGCUAAGCCAGCCUUUCUAGUGGCAAGGUAAAAGGUUUUUAAAUGUUUGGAAUGUUGAUCAAUUGUUUGAGAAAAAAUCAACACAUCGUCUAAUACAUCUGUUUUAAUAUGCCUCCAUAACCUAAAUCUGAUGCAUCUGUUUCAAUAAUUUUAGGUAAUGCAGGAUUUGCAAGAAAUAAACAUGGAAUGUUUUUAACAUAAUUUUUUAUUAGUCUAACAGCUUUAGUAUGUUCAUCUGUCCAAGCAACGAGAUUCUUUCUUAGCCUAUCAUGCAGUGGUUUAGACAUCCUAUUGAUGUUGGGACAGAAAUCAAGAACAUAAUUUAAACUACCUAGAAACCUUUGUAGUUGUGUUUUAUCAAGAAUUUUAUCAGGAAAUUUAUCAGCAAAUAAAAGCGAUCGCUCAAUAGGCGUAAUAGUUCCUUUAGAAAUAUAGUGACCAAGGAAUCUGAUUUUUGUUUGAAACAAUGAGACUUUAGAACUAGAAAUGGCUAAGCCAGCCUUUCUAGUGGCAAGGUAAAAGGUUUUUAAAUGUUUGAAAUGUUGAUCAAUUGUUUGAGAAAAAAUCAACACAUCGUCUAUAUAAACUAUGCAAAACUCAGAAAAAGGAUUAUAAAUAUCAUUCAUAAUUCUUUGAAAUUCUGAGGGUGCAUUCUUUAGUCUAAAUAGCAUUACAGUCCAUUCAUACUGUUCAAAAGGAACAGUAAAGGCGGUUUUAUAACGGUCUUUAGGGUGAAUUUGAAUUUGCCAAAAAUCAGAUUUCAUGUCAAAUUUUGAAAAAAUAAAAGUAGAACACAAUUUCUGGAGCAAAUCUUUUUUAUUAGGUAUAGGAUACCUAAUCCAUUUUAAUGAUUUAUUUAAAGGUUUGUAAUUUAUUACAAGUCUUGGUGUUCCUCUUUCUAUUUCUGAGUUUUUAUUUACAUAGAAGGCGGCACAAGACCAAGGAGAUCUAGAUUUUAUAAUGAGUCAUUUACUCUCUAAGUCUUUUAUCUCAUUUGUACAGUGUUGUUCCAAUUCCAUGUUCAUUUGGAUUGGACGAGCUUUAGUGGGAAUUUGUUUUUCAUCAAAAGAAUUUUCAUAGGGCAAAUCUACCAAAUGUUGUUUUCUGUUUCAAAAAGGAGAUGGUAAAUCAGCACAUAUUUCUUUUUCAAUGAGAUCUUUAAAAUCAUAGAUUUUUCUUUGUAUGAUGUCAUUUUGUAAUUGACUUUCAAUUCUUUGUAAAUUUAAAUUAUUUUUUAAACAAAACAAGCUUUAACAAUAUUUAAGUUUCUCGUUUUUGGUUUCUCAAUAAAAGGGAAAACAAGUUUUUGAUUUUUUGCUUUAAAAGAUAUACUAUCAUAAUUAACAGUAUACGGGGUAAUGAGGUUUAUAAAAGGGGUUCCUAAAAUGACAGUAUGGUGUAUGUCAUUUGUGAGAAGAAAAGAUGUCCUAAAUUCAAAACCGUUGUUAUGAAUAGAGGCGUCAACUUUAGAUUUGAUUUUUAACUUUGAAUUAUUAGCGGCUGACAAUCUUUCUUUUGUUUUUUCAACAUGAACAAAGACAGGAAGAGAAUGAACAUUCUCCUCCAACAUCUCCUACGUUUUCUGCUGUUACAGAAAAUGUAAUUAAUGUCAUCGAAAAAGACUUUAAAUUGAAUAAAACUCUUCUCCAUAAUGAUUUUUUUUCAGAUAAUAAUAAAGAGAAAAGACUUUGAUUUUUUAGACAUUUUCUAAAUCAAAGAAAAGAAAUCCAAGAGACAUAUUAUGAAUUUAUAAAUUCACAUAAAAUUCAUAUAUUGUUUUUUUAUUGGUUUAAGAUAUAUUCUUCAAAUAACAACAUUUCUUAUCAUUUUAAAGAGUCGAACCUUAUUACUGUUAGGAAGAAAAUUCCUGAGUGGAAACUUUCUGAUAGUAAGAAAACCAUAGAAUCUGAACAUCCACCUCUUAGGAGUUUAACUAUUGAUCACGGUGAACCUCCUGUUCAAAUUAGAGCCUCACCUUACAAAAUCCCUAAACUAAAUGAUUCUGAUGCAAAUUUAAAUGGUAUUAUUCAACAGAAUAAUUUCUGUAAUAUUAACUUAAAUACAAUAGGAAAACAGUUGACUAGGAUAGAAAGCCAAUUCCGAAGGUCAACCAUAGCUGUUUCUCCUAUUAGCACAAAAUCAGAUUCUGACAAAAAGCUUAAGGAACCUAUUUUCAAACCUUUUCAGGUUUCAAAAACUAGCCAAAAGCUUGUUCAAGAGUCAAAAUCAGAUUUUGCUAAAGCCAUUAGAGACCAAUUAGAUAGAAUAGAAGCUUCUUCUUCUUCUUCUAAGGUCCAAAUAGCCCCUGAUAGUGCCCAAUCUAGCAAGAUUGGUGUACUAGAACAUGACAAUGUUUCUAUAGCCUCUUCAGAUAUAGAAGCAUUUAAAGAAGAACCAUAUGCUCCUAAUGUCAACAAAAUUCAUUGGGAAUUAGCCUUACCUACUGUCAAGACUCCACCAGAUCUAGCUAUAGAUAAUAGACCGAGUACUUUAAAUCAAUCGCGAUUUAAUGCAUAUUCUGUCUAUGAGUGGAAUAUUGAUGGCAUGUCUGAAUACAACAUCUUAGGAUUGUUGCAACAGAUGACCAUGGCAGCUAAUGCCUAUAAAACACAGGCGGGAGCUUCUGAUAGAGCCAUAACAGAAAUUCUCGUUGCUGGUUUUACUGGUCAACUUAAAGGAUAGUGGGAUCAUCUUCUCACUAAACAGCAACAAUUAGAUAUCCUAAAUUCUAUUCAAGUCGAUGAGAAUGGAGCCCCCAUUCUUGAUGAGUUCAAUAGUCCAAUUCAGGUUGCUGUUGCUACCCUGAUUUUGACUAUAUCCCUUCAUUUCAUAGGUGACCCUUCGCACCUUAGAGAUAAAAAUGCCAAGUUACUACACAAUCUGAGGUGUAGGAAACUUAGUGAAUUCCAAAACUAUAAAACCACUUUCUUUACCAGACUCUUCCUUAGGGAUGAUGCAAAUCACAUAACCUGGAAAGAGAAAUUCAUUGCAGGUUUAACUACCCUUUUAGGAGAGAAAGUUAGGAAUUCCAUUAAAGCCCUGUAUGACAACCGUAUUCCUUAUGACGAGCUUACCUAUGGUGAACUUGUCAGUUUUGUUAAUAAAGAAGGUUUAAAGAUUUGUCAAAAUUUGAAAUUACAGAAACGACUUAAAUGGGAGCUUAGGAAAUCUAAGCAAGAAUUAGGCAGUUUCUGUAAACAAUUCAACUAUGACCCCUUUAAAACUUCCACUUCUAAAGAUUGUAAUGGUAAGUGUUCUUCAAAACCUUACAAAAAACAUUACAAAUCCAAAAGCCAUAGGAAACCCUUUCAAGAUUUAGAGGACUCUCUUAUAAGAAACCUUCGAGGCCUUAUAAGAAGCCCAACUUCUCUAAAAAGAAAGAGUUUAAAGCCAAGCUAAAAACCCCUUUUAACUACAAAGAAGCCACAUGUUAUAAAUGUGGAAAGAGAGGCCACACUGCAAAGUUUUGCAGAAUGAACAGAAAGCUCCAUGAGCUUGGCCUUGAUGAAGAAAUUCUUUCUAAAGUUGUCAAUUUACUUGUAGAGUCUUCUGACUCUGAGUCUUUCAUGACGGGAGAUAGUGUACCUUUACAGGUUGAUGAGUUAAAUGAUUCUGAAUGUGUUUCUUCUAGUGAUUCCGACACUAGUGAUUCAGAUUCUUAUUUAAAGAAAAUCAAUGUUUUGACCAAAGACCAAGAAAUCUUUCUUGAGCUUGUUAAACAUAUCUCUGAUUCGAAUCUUCAAAAAGAAUACCUUGAUAAACUUUUAAAAACCCUGGAUUCUAAAGUUCAAACAGAAACUUCUAAAGUUCAAAUUGUCAAGAAGAAUUCUUAUGAUCUCACUGAAAUUUUGGGUACAAAGAAAACAAAGAAAACAACCCCUAAUAUCCAAGAUCUUCAGAAAGAAAUCAAAUAUAUUAAACUUGAGAUUAAAGAAUUAAAAGAAAAACCAAAGAAUGAUUCUGAAACUAUUCAACUUCUCUUACAAAAACAACUAGUUCAAUUAGAAGAUAAUUCUGAUAAAUAAGUUGAAUUCGAUGGUGACAAUGAACAAAACCUUGAAAACAUUGAAUCUGUACCCAAUGAUUUUCUGUUUAUUUUAAAACAAAUCACCACCAGAAAAUAUUUGAUCAAAAUCACUUUAAUUUUUUCUAAAGAUUUUAAAAUUGACACCAUCACCCUCUUUGACACUGGUGCCGAUUUAAAUUGCAUCAAAGAAGAUAUUGUCCCUAUAAAAUUCCAUGAAAAAACAAAAGAAAGAUUGUCAGCCGCCAAUAAUUCAAAGCUAAAAAUCAAAUCUAAAGCUGACGCCUCUAUUCAUAACAAUGGUUUUGAAUUUAUGACAUCUUUUUUUCUUCUUACAAAUGACAUACACCAUACUUUCAUUUUAGAAACCCCUUUUAUAAACCUCAUUACCCCGUAUACUGUCAAUUAUGAUAGUAUAUCUUUUAAAGCAAAAAAUCAAAAACUUGCUUUCCCUUUUAUUGAGAAACCAAAAACGAGAAACUUAAAUAUUGUUAAAGCUUGUUCUGUUUACCAGAACCAAAUCAAUGUCAUACUUAAAUCUAAACAAAAUAACUUGUUUUGUUUAAAAAAGGAUUUAAAUUUACAAAGAAUUGAAAGUCAAUUACAAAAUGACUUCAUACAAAGAAAAAUCUCUGAUUUUAAAGAUCUCAUUGAAAAAGAAAUAUGUGCUGAUUUACCAUAUGCUUUUUAGAACAGAAAACAACAUUUGGUAGAUUUGCCCUAUGAAAAUUCUUUUGAUGAAAAAUAAAUUCCCACUAAAGCUCAUCCAAUCUAAAUGAACAUGGAAUUGGAACAACACUGUAAAAAUGAGAUAAAAGACUUAGAGAGUAAAAGACUCAUUCUAAAAUCUAGAUCUCCCUGGUCUUGUGCCGCCUUCUAUGUAAAUAAAAACUCAGAAAUAGAAAGAGGAACACCAAGACUUGUAAUAAAUUACAAACCUUUAAAUAAUCAUUAAAAUGGAUUAGGUAUCCUAUACCUAAUAAAAAAGAUUUGCUCCAGAAAUUGUGUUCUGCUUUUAUUUUUUCAAAAUUUGACAUGAAAUCUGAUUUUUGGCAAAUUCAAAUUCACCCUAAAGACCGUUAUAAAACCGCAUUUACUGUUCCUUUUGGACAGUAUGAAUGGACUGUAAUGACAUUUGGACUAAAGAAUGCACCCUUAGAAUUUCAAAGAAUCAUGAAUGAUAUUUAUAAUCUUUUUUUGAGUUUUGCAUAGUUUAUAUAGACGAUGUGUUGAUUUUUUCUCAAACAAUUGAUCAACAUUUCAAACAUUUAAAAACCUUUUACCUUGGCACUAGAAAGGCUGGCCUAGCCAUUUCUAGUUCUAAAGUCUCAUUGUUUCAAACAAAAGUCAGAUUCUUUGGUCACUAUAUUUCUAAAGGAACUAUUACGCCUAUUGAGCGAUCGCUUUUAUUUGUUGAUAAAUUUCCUGAUAAAAUUCUUGAUAAAACACAACUACAAAGGUUUUUAGGUAGUUUAAAUUAUGUUCUUGAUUUCUAUCCCAACAUCAAUAGGAUGUCUAAACCACUGCAUGAUAGGCUAAGAAAGAAUUCCGUUGCUUGGACAGAUGAACAUACUAAAGCUGUUAGACUAAUAAAAAAUUCUGUUAAAAACAUUCCAUGUUUAUUUCUUGCAAAUCCUGCAUUACCUAAAAUUGUUGAAAUAGAUGCAUCAAAUUUAGAUUAUGGAGGCAUAUUAAAACAAAAGGAAGAUGAUAAAGAACAAAUAGUACAAUGCGUUUCUGCCCACUGGAAUGAAUGCCAGAAAAAUUAUUCUACUAUCAAAAAAGAAAUUCUUUCUAUUGUUUUGUGCAUUUCCAAAUUCCAAAGUGAUUUACUAAAUCAAAAAUUUUUACUUAGAAUUGAUUGCAAAGUUGCAAAACAUGUUUUAGAAAAAAAUGUUCAAAACAUUCCAUCAAAACAAAUUUUUGCACGAUGGCAAGCUAUUUUAAGUGCUUUUUAUUUUGAUAUUGAAUUUAUUAAAGGAGAUACAAAUUCUAUCCUUGAUUUUCUAACUAGGGAAUUUCUCCAAAAUAGAUAAAUGCCGCCCAAAAAUAAAGACAAGGGGAAAGGGAUUCUUAAAGACCUUGUGUCCCAAACACCUUCUAAAGCUUCUCAAACCUCUCCACCUAAAGAAAAAUUGCUUUCUUCUGCCAUGCCAAUCAAGUCUUGGAUCGACAUGAUAGAGGAUCAAGAAGCCCAGUCUAAAGCGCUUGCCUCUCAUGAGCAGGUAAAUGAAUAGAUGAAAUCCAUUUCUAAAUCCCCUGAGCUUAUGCUCGCUCUACAAAGUUUUUCUCAAAGCCAAAUUUCUCCUCAAUAAAAUAUUCCUAAAGAGAUUUCAAAACCCUCUUCUCAAAAUGUGGUUGUUUCUGGUGAAAGUUCAUCUUCUCAAAUUAUUCUUUCCCAGCCAAAACUUUCAAAGAAAACUUCUGAUUGGUUUGAUAAAACCCAUUUCCAAAAUAUUUUAUCUAUGGAGGAUGGUUUUUACCAUACCGAUCCUUUUCAAGCUAUUUCAAAGUUUUUCCCUAAAGGCUGAUUUUUCAAACACUGGGAUUUGACGAAACCCCAGUCUUAUUAUCAAAGCAUUUUAGAACCCACUAAGUCUGUAAAAUUCAAGCAUUUCUUUCUCAGUGAAACCCAUUCCGAUCCAGCCUACUCCACGGCUACUAUUCUGAAAGUCUUGAGCCCAAACCAUUUCUCAGUGAAACCCAUUCAGAUCCAGCCUACUCCACGGCUACUAUUCUGAAAGUCUUGAGCCCAAACCAGUAGGGAGACCAACUCCACAAACAAAAAAGUUUCCCUCCAAAUUUUCAAAUGCGUUUACCACAUUGUUUGUCUUAUUCCUAUUGGGAUUACAAACAAGCAUGGUUUAACACAUUUUUCAUACAAAACCCAAAGAAAUCUCAUUCAUGGUUAUUUUUCUUCAAUUCAAAAAUAACCGUUCAAAGCCUCCCUAAUUGGUUUCAACAAUGGUGGAACUCUUUUGGCCAAAUUCCUUAGAUUUUAACUCCAAAUGCCACCCAUUGUUUAAACCUCUUUAAAACCCAUUAUAUCCCUUCUGAAUCCGAGAAAAGGUUUUCCCUAUUUCUCUGUUUCUGUACAAAUUUCUUCCUCCCAUGGGUAUGGAUGUGGAAUUUCAGAUAUCAUACCCAAGAAGCCCAACUCAUUUUACAAAGAACCUUUAAAGUAAAAUGGUAGUCAAAGUUUGACGAACAGACCAAAUUAACUGACACUCUGAUCCAAAAUUGGCUCUGUUCUAAAGGCUUCUUACCCCCCACCAUCAAAGAUGUCAAAGCCCAAGAAACAUUUCUUACCCAAAAAUCCAAAGCCCAAUCUCUUUUGGCCAGCGCCAAAACUGAAGAAGAAUAUUUUAAAGUUAUGGAGCAGCUCCUCACAUCAAGAUCCAAAUCUUCAGUUGCCGAUUCCUCUGAUGAUGAUGAAGGCAAUGAAGAGCCAUUUAUUUCUCUUGGACAUGAAAAUGAAGACGACUGUUUUGGAAUUUUCUCUCCGAUAAAGCAUUGUAAAUAAUUAUCAUUUGAAAAAAAAAGAGUAAAUUUUCAUUUUUCCGCACUCCCAUUGUAAUUAUUUUUCCAUUUGUAUUUUAGGUAUUUUCCUUUAUUAUAUAUAUGUAUGUUUGUACCUUCGGGUGGUCCCCUGGACACAAGUGAGAGCGCACAUGUCUCUUCACCCGAGUUAUACUUGUAUUUUUAAAAGAAUGUUCAUUUUCGUAACAAAGACUACUGUUCCAAGCUACAAUUUCGCUACAGUUGAGAAGCUACAGUUUAGUUACAGUUGAGAAGCUACAAACUCGCUACAGUUAAAGAUUAAAAUUUUUGUAUAUAAUUCUGGAGGAAGACUUAAAUUCCUCAGAAUUUUCCAAUUCUUCUCUCUCUUUAUCCUCUCCUUCUCUUCUUUUCUCUUUCUCUCUCUCCCUGGGAAUCAGGAAUCGGAAGACAACAAGGAAUUUUUCCUGUCUUCGGAUUAAUUUCCAAUUUCUUCUAUACUUUUCUUUAAAGAAGAACAAAAUAAAGCAAAAUCAAAUGUAAGAUUUGUAGUUCCUUUUAAAGUUUAUAAUAAGUUUAAAGUUCUGUAUGUUUAAAUUUCUGCAAUUUAAUUUAAAGCAUUUUAAUUUCCGCAAUUUAUUUUAAAGCAUUUAAAUUUUAUGCAUGCUUUGCAGACUGAUCUGUAUCAGAUCUGCCAUGUAAAUUGUUACAUUCCUCUGAGGCAACGAGACCAGAUUUCAAUCCUCAGUUGUAUCUUCUCUUCUCCCUCCAUCCAAUCAGAGUGCUAUUUCUGGGAACCAGAUCUAGUACUAUAUAUGAGCCUUUAGAUCUAUUGCUAGGCUUGUUUAAAUAUCUAAUCCAUAUUUGGUAAAGCAUUAAUUAAAAGGGUAUAUCGGCGGGAAUCCAUCGACGUACGUUCUAGAGGUGAACCCGAAUGGGCACUAGUCUGGUCCACACUUAUGGUUAACAAGCCACGUACCAAUUUAAUUAUAAUUAAAAGCAAUCAACCGCAUAUCAAAGAACAACCAUAUUGUUCAAUUGUAGUAUUUGGAGUUUAAAAUUGCAGAUCUUCUUAAUUCGCAUCCAUCCUUCAUAAUUAAACGGUAAUGUGAUCACAUAUACAAUUAAUAAAAAAAAUUUAACAGUAAUGUGAUCUAUAUGUUGUAGGGUAUUUUGGCUUCUAAUUUAAAUGUCAUGUACACGUCUGGGUGCCAAGGAUCCUUAUUUCUAGCAAUAUUUAACCCUCAACAGCAGGUGCUUUUAAAAUGGUAGCUUUUAUUUUUAGAGAAUCACCGUAUAUGGAUAGACAAUUAGUAGUUUCUUUCUUUUUCUUUCUUCCUUUCCUUCCGUAAGUGAGGUGGCAAAAUGAUUAAACAAAUCAUAUUUGAAUUGAAUAGUAAAUGAAUUAGGUCCAAACUCUACUAAUUUGAAUUUGAUUCAUUAAUUAAAUGAAUAUUUUUGGUUUGGUUCGUUUCAUUAGUUUAGUAGAAUUAAUAAAUGAAUUGAAAUGAAUCUACAUUCGCUUACUAUUUGUUCAUUCUAUAAUGAAUUCAUUACUAAUCAAAUUGAAUAUGAAUUCAUUUAUAAAAGUAUAAUUAAAAAUUCUACCAAGCUUUAACAGAGAAGAUUGGAACUUAAGAAAAGAGCAAACAAUAUAAUUUUUUAAAAAGAUAGAAACAAAAAGAAAAAAGAGUACCUUUCACCUAGGGAUGGUAAAAAUUCCCACGAGGACGGGUACCCUCGGAGAUUUUUUCCAUUCGGGGAGGGUAUGGGGAUAAUUUCAUACCCAAUUUCUUAUUCAGGGAAGGGAUAGGGAAAUUUUUUUACCCAAUUUCUUAUUCGGGGAGGGGACGGGGAUGAGGUGGAAUCCUCAUCCCCUAUCCAUUUCCCCAUUUUAAUUUUUAAUUUUUAAAAUUACUAGUAAAUAAAUAAUAAAAUUUGAAUUAUAAAAUUAUAAGUAUUGGUAAAAAUAAAAAUGUCAAAAUAUUUAUAUUAUUAAACUUUUAGGCCUAAUUAACUAAUUAAAGUUCUAAAUUUUUAUUUAGGACAUUAAAAAGACCGGACAGAUUCUAUUAGCCCAAAACUUUUGUUUUAAUUUUAAUAUUCAUUAAAUAUUUUAAACUUCAAUCUAUUUUUUAUUUAUCUUAAAUCUAUUUUUUAUUUAUUUUUAGAUGUUAUAAUUGCCCACAGCAAAUCACAAUUUUAAUAUCUAAUCUAAUCUAAUAUUUGCACUUGAUUUGCUUCGACUUAACUAUUGUGUUGUAAAGGGAAUAGUCCACAUUUAUAAAGUGUCCACGCCACCAUUGAAAAAUUAAUUUUGAAUCUAAAUUUGAUUUUAUUUCUAACAAUUUUGUAUUAUGCUAUUAAUUUAUUCAUGAUAGUUUGUAUCACUUGCAUGCUGCAUUACUUACUAAUUUAAUGUAUGUGACUUUUGUAAUGGAUAUUAAUGUAAGAUAUAUUUCGAACUUUACUUUUAUUUGAAUUUUUUAUUUUAAUAUGAUUAACUCAAAAUAGGAAACAAAAAAAAUGUAUUAGUUAUUCAGGGAUCAGGGACCCUCGGGGAUCCCCUGUUAUUAUUCGGGGAGGAGAUGAAGAUUCUCUGAAAUAAUUUUGACGGGAUGAGGAGGGGACGGGGACAUACGCAAAAUAUCGGGGAUAGGUACGGGGAGAUUGGUCCCCUUCCCUCCCCUCCCCGUCGCAAUUUAUCAUCCCAAAUAUUUAAAGUUAAAAAACGAGGUGAUGUCUUUUCGAGGCCACCUAAUCGCCACAAUUAAAUUGCCUUCUUAGUACUGCCUUCAUUACCUGUUUACCACCAUGUUCAUUUUGGAAUCACUUCACCACUUUGUCUCCACCCAGGUGGUGUUGAUUUUAUGAAUUGAUGUAUAAAUAUAUGCAUAGGGGCGUUUUUUCGUGUUCCUAAAAUACCUUAUAAUACAUGAUACAUCAAAUUCUAAAAUUAUUUCAAUAGAGUAAUUUUAAAAUUAUUUUCUUAUGUUUUAUUAGAACCUCUAUAAAUUAAUAUUCGAUAA
rnacentral:lncRNA from 1 species